UACGUAGGGUGCAAGCGUUUGUCCGGAAUUAUUGGGCGUAAAGAGCUCGUAGGCGGUCUGUCGCGUCUGCUGUGAAAACUCGGGGCUUAACCCCGGGCCUGCAGUGGGUACGGGCAGACUAGAGUGCGGUAGGGGAGACUGGAAUUCCUGGUGUAGCGGUGAAAUGCGCAGAUAUCAGGAGGAACACCAGCGGCGAAGGCAGGCUCUCGUC
rnacentral:rRNA from 1 species